AGAGUUUGAUCAUGGCUCAGGAUGAACGCUGGCGGCGUGCCUAAUACAUGCAAGUCGAACGAGGUGGAUGGGAGCUUGCUCCUUGAUACCGAGUGCGAACGGGUGAGUAACACGUAGGUAACCUGCCCUUAAGCUUGGGAUACCCAGAGGAAACUUUGGCUAAUACCGGAUAACAACAGAGGAGGCAUCUCCUUUGCUUGAAAGGCCCUUUACGGGGUCACUUAAGGAUGGACCUGCGGCGCAUUAGCUAGUUGGUGAGAUAACAGCCCACCAAGGCGAGGAUGCGUAGCCGACCUGAGAGGGUGAUCGGCCACAUUGGAACUGAGACACGGUCCAAACUCCUACGGGAGGCAGCAGUAAGGAGUUUUCGGCAAUGGGGGAAACCCUGACCGAGCAACGCCGCCGUGAGUGAUGACCGGCCCUAUGGGUUGUAAAGCUCUGUUGUAAGGGACGAACGAUCGUUUAGGAAAUGAAACGGUUCUGACGGUACCUUACCAAGAAAGCCACGGCUAACUACGUGCCAGCCGCCGC
rnacentral:rRNA from 1 species